UUUAUUUUUUUGCCCCAGUCUGCAGGGUGAAAAGGACUUUUCAUUUCACUGAAGUGAAAAGUGGGUCUGUGAGUAGAGCGACUUUCUUAAAAAAAAAAAAAAAAUCAGAAACCAAUUACUUGAUAUGCAGAGCUGCAAGCCUCGUUCCUUUAACAAAAUCAGUGCAGUGUGCACUGCCGUUAACCUGAGGAAAGCAGCUGACAUCUCUUGAUUACGGCUAGAGGUGGAAGGACCCAAACUUGCAGCCUCCCCCUCCCCCUCGAGAGAGUGUUAGUCCAGUCCUUUAGAGAGGUUCGGUUUGGCUCUCUGUCAUCACCGGGACGCUGGCAGGGAGUGUGUGUCAUGGUUACAAUAGAGUGUGCUAACAUAUAACAACCAUGAAAGCCCAGCGGGAAAGGCUACAGAUUCCGGGGCUGACCUUGGAUCUCACUCCCAGGAGCCUGAGUCCAACCCCAUCCAGCCCAGGCAGUCCUUGUAGUCCUCUCUUGGCCUUUCACUUUUGGAGCCCUGUGUGUCCAAAUGCUGGGAGAACAUCACCCCUUGGAUGAAUUGCCACCACAUUAAAUAAAACAUAUCCAAAGCUCA